ACUCAAUCUUCUCAGUUAUUCAUUCACUGUAGUUUACUUUGUCUCAUAUAUUUCUUCUAAAAUUGUUAUAGGAAAAAUAAAAAUAGAUUCAAACGACACUGUUGUUGAUAUACAGCUAUACAUUAAAUAUGGUGAGCAUAGCUGCAUCACAGAACAACUGUGAUAUUAUAGAGAACUCUAGUGAAUUUUCUUUCCUGGGGUGGGAGGACGUCACUUCCUUUCGCUUGUUGUGACUUUUAUUUUGUCUCAGUGUGUUAGUAUGUGUUAAGCUGAUGUGCUGAAUGCCACCACGAUGAUAAUGUUUGCCUUAUUCUUUGUCAUGUUGCCAGGUCUCAUACGAAGUAAAAAAGUUGACCAGACUCCACAAGACCUGAUAAGGAACCUCACAGAAUCAGCUGUUGUCACUUGCUCACAUUCAGACCAGGGCUUUGAACUCAUCCUCUGGUAUAAACGAUCUGAUGACAAGGGAUUCAUUUUUCUUGGUUAUCUCAAUAAUAAUUUUCAAAAUCCUGAAGAUGAGUUCAAAGACAAAAUCGAACUUGCUGGAGAUGGCAGAAGUAGCGCCACACUUACAAUAAAACAUCUGACUGCAGACAACAGCGGAGUCUAUUACUGUGCAGCUCGGAGACACAGUGUGUUAAAACCCCACAACCCAGAGCAAAAACACUUCCUUAUCACGUCUCGAUAUCUGUAGUGUGCACUAAAACAGGUGAAACA